AUUGAACGCUGGCGGUAGGCUUAACACAUGCAAGUCGAGCGGUAACAUUUCUAGCUUGCUAGAAGAUGACGAGCGGCGGACGGGUGAGUAACGCGUAGGAAUCUACCGAGUAGUGGGGGACAACCAGUGGAAACGCUGGCUAAUACCGCAUACGCCCUACGGGGGAAAGCAGGGGAUCUUCGGACCUUGCGCUAUUCGAUGAGCCUGCGUGAGAUUAGCUUGUUGGUGAGGUAAUGGCUCACCAAGGCGACGAUCUCUAGCUGGUCUGAGAGGAUGAUCAGCCACACUGGGACUGAGACACGGCCCAG
rnacentral:rRNA from 1 species